rnacentral:rRNA from 1 species
GUAACACGUGAGUAACCUGCCCUUGACUCUGGGAUAAGCCUUGGAAACGGGGUCUAAUACCGGAUAGGAGCAUUCACCGCAUGGUGGGUGUUGGAAAGAAUUUCGGUCUUGGAUGGACUCGCGGCCCAUCAGCUUGUUGGUGAGGUAAUGGCUCACCAAGGCGACGACGGGUAGCCGGCCUGAGAGGGUGACCGGCCACACUGGGACUGAGACACGGCCCAGACUCCUACGGGAGGCAGCAGUGGGGAAUAUUGCACAAUGGGCGCAAGCCUGAUGCAGCGACGCCGCGUGAGGGAUGACGGCCUUCGGGUUGUAAACCUCUUUCAGUAGGGAAGAAGCGAAAGUGACGGUACCUGCAGAAGAAGCACCGGCUAACUACGUGCCAGCAGCCGCGGUAAUACGUAGGGUGCGAGCGUUAUCCGGAAUUAUUGGGCGUAAAGAGCUCGUAGGCGGUUUGUCGCGUCUGUCGUGAAAGUCCGGGGCUUAACUCCGGAUCUGCGGUGGGUACGGGCAGACUAGAGUGCAGUAGGGGAGACUGGAAUUCCUGGUGUAGCGGUGGAAUGCGCAGAUAUCAGGAGGAACACCGAUGGCGAAGGCAGGUCUCUGGGCUGUAACUGACGCUGAGGAGCGAAAGCAUGGGGAGCGAACAGGAUUAGAUACCCUGGUAGUCCAUGCCGUAAACGUUGGGCACUAGGUGUGGGGGCCAUUCCACGGUUUCCGCGCCGCAGCUAACGCAUUAAGUGCCCCGCCUGGGGAGUACGGCCGCAAGGCUAAAACUCAAAGGAAUUGACGGGGGCCCGCACAAGCGGCGGAGCAUGCGGAUUAAUUCGAUGCAACGCGAAGAACCUUACCAAGGCUUGACAUGUUCUCGUUCGCCGUAGAGAUACGGUUUCCCCUUUGGGGCGGGUUCACAGGUGGUGCAUGGUUGUCGUCAGCUCGUGUCGUGAGAUGUUGGGUUAAGUCCCGCAACGAUCGCAACCCUUGUUCUAUGUUGCCAGCACGUGGUGGUGGGGACUCUUGGGAGACUGCCGGGGUCAACUCGGAGGAAGGUGGGGACGACGUCAAAUCAUCAUGCCCCUUAUGUCUUGGGCUUCACGCAUGCUACAAUGGCCGGUACAAUGGGUUGCGAUACUGUGAGGUGGAGCUAAUCCCAAAAAGCCGGUCUCAGUUCGGAUUGGGGUCUGCAACUCGAC